ACGCCUAAUACAUGCAAGUCGAACGGAGUAGCAAUACUUAGUGGCAGACGGGUGAGUAACAUGUGGGUAUCUUCCCUUUGGUGAGGAAUAACACGAGGAAACUUGUGCUAAUACCUCAUAAGUCUUUACGGAGAAAGCUUUAUGCGCCAAUGGAUGAGCCUGCACUUGAUUAGUUUGUUGGUAGGGUAAUGGCCUACCAAGACUGUGAUCAAUAGCUGAUUUGAGAGGAUGAUCAGCCACAUUGGGACUGAGACACGGCCCAAACUCCUACGGGAGGCAGCAGUAGGGAAUCUUGCACAAUGGAGGAAACUCUGAUGCAGCGAUGCCGCGUGAGUGAAGAAGGCCCUUGGGUUGUAAAGCUCUUUCGUCGGGGAAGAAAAUGACUGUACCCGAAUAAGAAGGUCCGGCUAACUUCGUGCCAGCAGCCGCGGUAAUACGAAGGGACCUAGCGUAGUUCGGAAUUACUGGGCUUAAAGAGUUCGUAGGUGGUUAAAAAAGUUGGUGGUGAAAGCCCAGAGCUUAACUCUGGAACUGCCAUCAAAACUUUUUAGCUAGAGUUUGAUAGAGGAAAGCAGAAUUUCUAGUGUAGAGGUGAAAUUCGUAGAUAUUAGAAAGAAUACCAAUUGCGAAGGCAGCUUUCUGGAUCAUUACUGACACUGAGGAACGAAAGCAUGGGUAGCGAAGAGGAUUAGAUACCCUCGUAGUCCAUGCCGUAAACGAUGUGUGUUAGAUGUUGGAAAUUUAUUUUCAGUAUCACAGCGAAAGCAAUAAACACACCGCCUGGGGAGUACGAC
rnacentral:rRNA from 1 species